UUUCCGUAGGUGAACCUGCGGAAGGAUCAUUAAAGAGUAAGGGUCCUCUAGGCCCGACCUCCCAACCCUUUGUUUACCAAACCAAUGUUGCUUCGGCGGGCCCGUCUUAGGACCGCCGGAGGACCGUCGAAACGUCCUCUGGCCCGCGCCCGUCGAUGGCCCUUAUUACUAAACUCUGAACCAAACGUGUCCUGUCUGAGUGAUUAUUAUCAAAAUUAAAGCAAAAACUUUCAACAACGGAUCUCUUGGUUCUG
rnacentral:misc_RNA from 1 species